AAAGAAGUCACUGCUUCUCAUUAAUUAUUCUCCAUAUAUACUAUAAUAACUAAUAUGAUUAAUAUAUAAUAAUAUAAUUAAGCCAAUUCAUUGGCUGAUGAUAGUUUAAUCUAUUUUCCCUCAUAUUUCUUCAUGAGAUUAUGUGAGUUUGAAUUAAACAUGGGUGAAUUGGUUUAAAAUUAUGCACCAAUUUUCCAGAAUUUCUCACCCCAGCCAUUGCAAUAAAUGAACUGAAUUUCCCGCAGGUUUUGACCGUUGGCUAUGGAAGUGGCUGAAACCUGCCUUUGCCUGGAGAAAGAAGAGGAUUGAAGACAGUAAUUGAAGGGACUCUGGGAUGGUACAGACUGUGCAGAUUUGGAGGGAGUGAGACUGUCGCUUGCAUUCCUGAGCUCCUACCUGACCUCUGUACAUGCUGAGGAGCUGACCUGAGGAGACUGGAAGCUUCUCAAGGACAGGGACCAAGACCUUCUGCCCUGAAUCAUGAUCGUUGCAAACCAAGCCUGCGCUGGCUGGUGCUGAGCAAAGACUCACAGCCCGGAAGACAAAGGCAGGGACCCACAGCACCGAGCCUAUGCCCGUGGCCAACUGAAUCCCUGUGGACCGGCCCCGCCUGUCUGCCUUCCUCACAUCCCUCCACCUCACCGGGAGGCCCUAAGUCGGCUCACAGGGAGCCCUCCUAAGUCGGCUAGAUCUUCUCCCUUCACUCUUCAACACACCUCACAGGUGUUCGGGGAAAAAGGUGACGACCAGGGACCAGGAAGCACAGUUGUGAAGGUUGGAAGUCCAAAAUAAGGUUCAGCAUGUUAAGAUGGAGCUGCCUGCAGAGCCUCAUUCCUCCUGGAGACCCAGGGGAGAAUCGUUCCCUUGCCUUUUCCAGCUUCCAGAGGCACCUGCGUUGUGAGGCUGGAGGUGCGUUCCCCCUUUUCAAAGCCUGCAAAGGUGGAAAGGAACAAUGAUCCCCUUGACUGGCUUCUCUGAAAUGUUAGGAAAACUGUAGGUUUAUUUUCCACCAGGACCAGGUUAGACCAUCAGAAGACUCUAUACCUGGAUCACAUUGCUUCGCCUUUUCACAGAACUGCAUUGAAGGACAUUUUAAGAACCAUCCUCCUGAAAUGUAUUAAAGUUAUUUAAUAUGGAAGUCCCCAUGAUUUCACAUGUUCAGUAUUUGAGGACCCAUGGGAAAAACCCCACUUGUAUGUGGUUGAGAGAUUUGUGAGCCACGUGGAGAAGACCUGAAGCUGUGAACUGGAUACCAUGGCAGCUGAUGUCAGGACAGGCCGUCGAUAGAUGACCAAACCCUGCAUCCAAAGUGAGCUUUCCUGUCGGUGUUUUGACUUCUCGUGUGAACAAUGACUGAGGUGGUUCAUUCCUGCAGAGAAGCCCCUUCCUUCUCACCACGCACCAUCUGGGAGGCUGGACUGCAAAGGUGAAAUGGACAAUCAGCCCACUGGAAAAGUGACUGCUGGGCUGUAGGAAAGGGCAGGGCUCAUGGCCUUGCUGUCCAAACACCACUCACAAGUCCAGCAAAGGAAGGGUUGAAUGAAUUUUCAAAGCACUUUGAACUUUCAGGGGAGAAUAAAAUAGAAUGGAAAAGAGUAGAAUAAAAUAACCCAGACCAACCCACUCAAGUCCAAGGUAACCCCAAAGAAAGACUUACUAAUUGUGAUCUCAGCAAUCACUGAGAUACUAGGUGAGCCUCUUCCAUCAUUGCUAGUGUCUCACUGGAGUACUACAUCUUAGCAAAUUCUUUAUUAUUAUUAUUAUUAUUAUUAUUAUUAUUAUUAUUAUUAUUAUUUUUUGAGACGGACACUCGCGGCAACACCCAGGCUGAAGUGCCGUGGUAAAAUCUCGGCUCACUGCAACCUCCACUUCUUGAGUUCAAGUCAUUCUCCUGCCUCAGCCUCUCGAGUAGCUAGGACUACAGGUGUGCACCACCACCAAGCCUGGCUAAUUUUUGUAUUUUUAGUAGAGACAGGGUUUCACCAUGUUGGCCAGGCUGGUCUCGAACUCCUGGCCUCAAGUGAUCCACCUGCCUCGGCCUCUCAAAGCACUGGGAUUACAGGCAUGAGCCACCGCACCCAGCCCAUCUUAGCAAAUUCUUAAGCUGCGUCUGCACUGAGAGGAAAAGCAUUCACCCAUCAGUGAUAGUUACUUUGAGCCCAGGAGAGGGGGAAAUGUCCGAAUAUGAGCAAUCCUUGUCCUGGAGAUGAAGUCUCCCCUCACCAUCCCAUCUAUGGAGUUAUCUGUGGAACUGGAUAGAGAACUAUAUUCUUCCUAUCCAUUAAAUUACAGAACAUAUUACAAAGGAAAAUCGGGUAUCCACAAGACAACAUUGUAUUUUGGGGUGGUAUGAUACUACCAUGGCUCUUCUGGUAAUUGAAGGAUAUAAGCUAUGCAAAAUGAUUCUCACUGCGAAUAAAACAUUUGCUUCAGGAGCUUCUAAAGGUGAGGGCAAUACAAUUUGUGUUUGUUUAAAACAUAAUGUCAUCCAUAACUAAUGGCAUAGCUCUGGCUCAGUAAAGCUUGAAACUAUUGUAUAUAUUUGAAGCUGGAUUUCUGAAUCCUGAGAUGAGAAAUAAAUUUACCCUUAAGCUUUUAUUUUAUUUUUUCAUGGUAAAGGUUAUUUCAGUGACUGA
rnacentral:lncRNA from 10 species